UUCAGAAAAAAAAAAUCUUUCCCUCAAGAUAUGGUCAUAAUCUCAAUUCAAAUUUCCAACAGAGUUUGCAACCGUAAUUACCCAUUUAUAAACAUCAUAAAAGUCUUAAAAUAGAUAAAAUGCUCCGCUGGGGCGCAGCUUGAUACGACCGCAGAGGUCGAACCCUGAACAGUUGGGGCAAGUAUGGACACAACAUUCAAGCUUGAUACAGCUCUGAAUUUGGAUUGUGAUUAAAUAUUUGACACAGCAUAGGUUUCUGACACAGAAAGAAUGUGGUCUAAGAACUUCAAUUUUUUUAAUUUACCUAUUAUGGUCCAAUGUCCAAAAUCAAAAUACAUGGCUAGAUUCAGCAUAUCAAAGAACCCCAUAUAUUCAAUUUUUGUUGAAAUCAAACAAAGUUUAAUUUUGGACCCCAACUUUGACAAACUUGAAAACUGGUUCCAUAAUCAAAAAUCUAAACACAUGUUUAGAUUCAGCAUAUCAAAGAACCCCAAGAAUUCAAUUUUUGUUAAAAUCAAACUAAGUUUAAUUUUGGACCCUUUGGACCUUAAUGUAGACCAAUUUAAAAAACGGGACACAAAAUUAAAAAUCUAAAAACA